GAAAACUGAGAAAUCAGUUUUGAUCGGCCUAUAGAAGUCAGCAGAAGGCAUAGUAGGUAGGUUUCGUGCUACUGAAGGCC
rnacentral:ncRNA from 1 species